UACGUAGGGGGCUAGCGUUGUCCGGAAUCAUUGGGCGUAAAGCGCGCGUAGGCGGCCCGGUAAGUCCGCUGUGAAAGUCCAGGGCUCAACCCUGGAAAGCCGGGUGGAUACUGCCGGGCUAGAGGUCCGGAAGAGGCGAGUGGAAUUCCUGGUGUAGCGGUGGAAUGCGCAGAUAUCAGGAGGAACACCGAUGGCGAAGGCAGCUCGCUGGGA
rnacentral:rRNA from 1 species